rnacentral:rRNA from 1 species
UUACACAAAUAUGAAGGCGGGCUGGAACCUCUCGGGGUUACAGCCUUGCUGAAUUAUUCACCCUUGUCUUUUGCGUACUUCUUGUUUCCUUGGUGGGUUCGCCCACCACUAGGACAAACAUAAACCUUUUGUAAUUGCAAUCAGCGUCAGUAACAAAUUAAUAAUUACAACUUUCAACAACGGAUCUCUUGGUUCUGGCAUCGAUGAAGAACGCAGCGAAAUGCGAUAAGUAGUGUGAAUUGCAGAAUUCAGUGAAUCAUCGAAUCUUUGAACGCACAUUGCGCCCUUUGGUAUUCCAAAGGGCAUGCCUGUUCGAGCGUCAUUUGUACCCUCAAGCUUUGCUUGGUGUUGGGCGUCUUGUCUCUAGCUUUGCUGGAGACUCGCCUUAAAGUAAUUGGCAGCCGGCCUACUGGUUUCGGAGCGCAGCACAAGUCGCACUCUCUAUCAGCAAAGGUCUAGCAUCCAUUAAGCCUUUUUUUCAACUUUUGACCUCGGAUCAGGUAGGGAUACCCGCUGAACUUAAGCAUAUCAAUAAGCGGAGGAAAAGAAACCAACAGGGAUUGCCCUAGUAACGGCGAGUGAAGCGGCAACAGCUCAAAUUUGAAAUCUGGCUCUUUUAGAGUCCGAGUUGUAAUUUGCAGAGGGCGCUUUGGCUUUGGCAGCGGUCCAAG